CAGUAGCGCGGGAUACGGAGGGAGCUAGCGUUGUUCGGAAUUACUGGGCGUAAAGCGCACGUAGGCGGUUAUUCAAGUCAGAGGUGAAAGCCCGGGGCUCAACCCCGGAACUGCCUUUGAGGCUAGAUGACUAGAAUCUUGGAGAGGUCAGUGGAAUUCCGAGUGUAGAGGUGAAAUUCGUAGAUAUUCGGAAGAACACCAGUGGCGAAGGCGACUGACUGGACAAGUAUUGACGCUGAGGUGCGAAAGCAUGGGGAGCAAACAGGAUUAGAUACCCCUGUAGUCCCUGUCUCUUAUACAC
rnacentral:rRNA from 1 species